rnacentral:rRNA from 1 species
UACAGAGGUCCCAAGCGUUGUUCGGAUUCACUGGGCGUAAAGGGUGCGUAGGUGGUGAGGUAAGUCGGAUGUGAAAUCUCCGAGCUCAACUCGGAAAUGGCAUUGGAAACUACCUUGCUCGAGGGUUGGAGGGGGGACUGGAAUGCUUGGUGUAGCAGUGAAAUGCGUAGAGAUGUGGAGGAAUACCGAUGGCGAAGGCAGCCCCCUGGGAUAACACUGACGCUCAUGCACGAAAGCGUGGGGAGCAAACAGG